CCGGAGCCGGGAGCGUAAGAACUACAACUUCCAGCAUGCCGCGAGGCAGUGGGUAGGCAGCGCUGGACGGGCGCUGACGGGCGGGGGUGCGCCCGCGAGUGCCCCGGCGUGUUCGCUUAGUUCAGUGAAUCAGAACAAUGACUGCGCCGCCGGGUCCCCGGGAGCGCGUCGCAGGGCUGUGAGCAGCCGCGGCCGGCAGAGCGGCGGGCGGCUCCGCCUCGGCGGUGUAGUGUCAGUGCCGGCUCCGGAGCCCCGGGAGCAGACCCUGCCCAGCGCCGCAGCCCGCGCGAUCCGCUGUGCUCCAGCGACACAGCUGCUCUUCGGGAGCGGUGCAUUGUUGUGAGCCACUGGAGGGGCGCGGGGAUUGCACAGCCCGGAGCCCCUCAACGCCCUUCAUAGCCAUGUGGAUACCUACGGAGCACGAGAAAUACGGCGUGGUUAUUGCCAGCUUUCGAGGCACCGUCCCGUACGGCCUGUCAUUGGAGAUCGGAGACACUGUUCAGAUCCUGGAGAAGUGCGACGGCUGGUACAGAGGAUUUGCCUUAAAAAAUCCCAACAUCAAGGGUAUAUUUCCUUCCAGCUAUGUUCACUUGAAAAAUGCCUGUGUAAAGAACAAAGGACAAUUUGAAAUGGUUAUUCCCACUGAAGAUUCUGUUAUCACCGAGAUGACAUCAACUUUAAGGGACUGGGGAACCAUGUGGAAACAGCUCUAUGUCAGAAAUGAAGGGGAUCUCUUCCAUCGCCUGUGGCACAUCAUGAAUGAAAUCCUCGAUCUGCGACGGCAGGUGCUAGUUGGCCAUCUCACCCAUGACAGGAUGAAGGAUGUGAAGCGCCACAUUACUGCCCGACUGGAUUGGGGAAAUGAACAACUGGGACUAGACCUGGUGCCUAGGAAGGAGUACGCAAUGGUAGACCCAGAGGACAUCAGCAUCACUGAGCUGUACCGACUGAUGGAACAUCGACAUCGGAAGAAAGACACCCCUGUGCAGGCCAGCAGUCACCACCUCUUUGUCCAGAUGAAGAGCCUCAUGUGUUCCAACCUGGGAGAGGAGCUAGAGGUCAUCUUCUCACUCUUUGACAGCAAAGAGAAUCGCCCAAUCAGUGAGAGAUUUUUCUUGAGACUGAAUAGAAAUGGGCUUCCCAAAGCCCCGGAUAAGCCUGAAAGACACUGUUCUCUCUUUGUGGACUUGGGUAGCAGUGAACUCAGGAAGGACAUCUACAUUACCGUGCACAUUAUCCGAAUUGGUCGAAUGGGAGCAGGAGAGAAAAAGAAUGCCUGCAGUGUUCAGUACCGGCGACCUUUUGGCUGUGCAGUCCUUAGCAUUGCAGAUCUCCUCACCGGAGAGACAAAGGAUGACCUGGUCCUGAAAGUGUACAUGUGUAAUACAGAGAGCGAGUGGUACCAGAUCCACGAGAACAUCAUCAAGAAGCUGAAUGCGCGCUAUAAUUUGACUGGCUCCAAUGCAGGAUUAGCAGUUUCCCUCCAACUGUUACACGGAGACAUUGAACAGAUCAGAAGAGAAUACUCCUCAGUGUUCUCUCACGGAGUGUCCAUAACGCGGAAGCUGGGUUUUUCUGACAUUAUCAUGCCUGGUGAAAUGAGGAAUGAUUUAUAUAUCACCGUAGAAAGGGGGGAAUUUGAGAAAGGAGGCAAGAGUGUGGCCAGAAAUGUGGAAGUUACAAUGUUCAUUGUAGACAGUAAUGGUCAGCCCUUAAAGGAUUUUAUCUCCUUUGGCUCUGGAGAGCCACCGGCUAGUGAGUACCACUCCUUUGUGCUCUAUCAUAACAACAGUCCCAGGUGGUCAGAGCUGCUGAAACUUCCUAUUCCUGUGGACAAAUUCCGGGGCUCCCACAUCCGCUUUGAGUUCCGGCAUUGUUCCACAAAGGAGAAAGGAGAAAAGAAGUUGUUCGGUUUCUCUUUCGUGCCCCUGAUGCAAGAAGACGGAAGGACUCUCCCAGAUGGCACACACGAGCUCAUCGUGCAUAAGUGUGAAGAAAACACAAACCUUCAGGAUACUACCCGCUACCUCAAGCUCCCAUUUUCCAAGGUCAUCUUCCUUGGGAACAAUAAUCAAACCAUGAAGGCCACAAAGGAAUCCUUUUGGAUAACAUCAUUUCUCUGUUCCACAAAACUCACUCAAAAUGGUGAUAUGCUUGAUCUUUUGAAAUGGAGAACCCACCCAGACAAGAUCACAGGCUGUCUCUCUAAGUUAAAAGAAAUCGAUGGCUCAGAGAUAGUAAAGUUUCUCCAAGACACACUGGAUACCUUGUUUGGAAUAUUAGAUGAAAAUUCCCAAAAAUAUGGGUCUAAAGUGUUUGAUUCUUUGGUCCACAUAAUAAAUUUGCUACAAGAUAGCAAGUUCCAUCAUUUUAAGCCUGUCAUGGACACUUACAUUGAGAGUCACUUUGCUGGGGCACUUGCAUACAGAGAUCUCAUCAAAGUGCUCAAGUGGUACGUGGACAGGAUAACGGAAGCAGAGCGCCAGGAGCAUAUCCAGGAAGUGUUGAAGGCACAAGAGUACAUUUUUAAGUAUAUAGUUCAAUCCCGAAGGCUGUUUUCCCUUGCCACCGGAGGGCAGAAUGAAGAGGAAUUCCGCUGCUGCAUCCAGGAGCUCCUUAUGUCCGUCCGCUUCUUCCUCUCACAAGAGAGCAAAGGGACUGGAGCUUUAUCUCAGUCGCAGGCUGUGUUCUUGAGCUCCUUUCCAGCUGUGUACUCAGAACUGUUGAAGCUCUUUGAUGUCCGGGAAGUGGCCAACUUGGUCCAGGACACCCUGGGCAGCCUACCUACCAUCAUGCAUGUGGACGAUUCUCUGCAGGCAAUUAAGCUUCAGUGCAUUGGCAAAACUGUCGAGAGCCAGCUCUAUACCAACCCAGACUCGCGGUACAUUCUCCUGCCUGUCGUACUGCAUCACCUCCACAUCCACUUGCAAGAACAGAAGGACUUGAUCAUGUGUGCACGUAUCCUUAGCAACGUGUUCUGUCUCAUCAAGAAAAAUAGCUCAGAAAAGUCUGUGCUGGAGGAAAUAGACGUGAUAGUGGCCAGCUUGCUGGAUAUCCUGCUCAGGACCAUAUUGGAGAUCACUAGUCGGCCUCAAGCAUCCAGCUCCGCCAUGAGGCUGCAGUUCCAGGAUGUCACUGGGGAAUUUGUUGCCUGUCUCCUUUCCCUAUUACGACAAAUGACAGAUAGACAUUAUCAGCAACUUCUGAAUAGUUUCAGUACUAAAGAGGAGCUGAGGGAUUUCUUGCUGCAGAUUUUUACCGUUUUCCGAAUAUUGAUACGCCCAGAGAUGUUUCCCAAGGACUGGACUGUCAUGCGCCUGGUUGCUAACAAUGUUAUCAUCACAACAGUUCUGUACCUCUCCGAUGCACUCCGUAAGAACUUCUUAAAUGAAAACUUUGAUUAUAAGAUCUGGGAUUCCUACUUUUACCUCGCUGUCAUUUUUAUAAACCAGUUGUGUCUGCAGCUGGAGAUGUUCACACCUUCUAAAAAGAAAAAGGUGCUAGAAAAGUAUGGUGAUAUGCGCGUCACCAUGGGUUGUGAAAUUUUUAGCAUGUGGCAAAACCUAGGAGAACACAAACUUCAUUUCAUCCCUGCCCUGAUUGGGCCCUUUCUGGAAGUAACCUUGAUACCCCAGCCAGAUCUCCGGAAUGUCAUGAUUCCUAUUUUUCACGAUAUGAUGGACUGGGAGCAAAGAAGGAGUGGCAACUUUAAACAGGUGGAGGCCAAGCUAAUUGACAAAUUGGACAGCCUGAUGUCGGAGGGCAAAGGUGAUGAAACGUACCGUGAGCUCUUCAACAGUAUAAUUCCACUAUUUGGUCCCUACCCUAGUCUACUAAAGAAAAUUGAGCGGGAAACAUGGAGGGAAAGUGGCGUUUCAUUAAUUGCCACUGUCACUCGGCUGAUGGAGAGGUUGUUAGACUACAGGGACUGCAUGAAGAUAGGAGAGGUGGAUGGCAAGAAGAUUGGCUGCACAGUUAGCCUUUUGAACUUCUAUAAGACGGAGCUGAACAAGGAGGAGAUGUAUAUCCGCUACAUCCACAAACUCUACGAUCUGCAUCUCAAGGCGCAGAACUUCACAGAGGCUGCCUACACUCUCCUGUUGUAUGACGAGCUGCUGGAGUGGUCUGAUCGGCCCCUCAGGGAGUUCCUGACCUACCCCAUGCAGACCGAAUGGCAGCGCAAGGAGCACCUGCACCUCACCAUCAUCCAGAACUUCGACCGAGGCAAAUGUUGGGAGAAUGGCAUUAUCUUGUGCCGGAAGAUUGCAGAGCAAUAUGAGAGUUACUAUGACUACAGGAACCUGAGCAAGAUGAGGAUGAUGGAAGCCUCCUUGUAUGACAAAAUCAUGGACCAGCAGCGCCUGGAACCUGAAUUCUUCAGAGUUGGAUUUUAUGGGAAAAAGUUUCCAUUUUUCUUAAGAAAUAAGGAGUUUGUAUGUCGAGGGCAUGACUAUGAAAGACUGGAGGCCUUCCAACAGCGAAUGCUGAACGAGUUCCCCCAUGCCAUCGCCAUGCAGCAUGCCAACCAGCCCGACGAGACCAUCUUCCAGGCAGAGGCUCAGUAUUUACAGAUAUAUGCUGUGACUCCCAUUCCAGAGAGCCAGGAGGUACUGCAGAGAGAGGGGGUCCCAGACAACAUCAAAAGCUUCUAUAAAGUGAACCACAUUUGGAAGUUCCGCUACGACAGGCCAUUCCACAAAGGCGCAAAAGACAAGGAGAACGAAUUCAAGAGUCUCUGGGUGGAAAGGACAUCGCUGUACUUGGUCCAGAGCUUACCCGGCAUCUCCCGCUGGUUCGAAGUGGAAAAGCGAGAAGUGGUAGAGAUGAGUCCUCUGGAAAACGCCAUCGAAGUGUUAGAAAACAAGAACCAGCAGCUGAAGACCCUGAUCAGCCAGUGUCAGACGAGGCAGAUGCAGAAUAUCAACCCCUUGACCAUGUGCCUCAAUGGAGUCAUAGAUGCUGCAGUGAACGGUGGGGUCUCCAGGUAUCAAGAGGCAUUCUUUGUCAAAGACUAUAUUUUAAGUCAUCCUGAAGAUGGGGAGAAGAUUGCACGGUUAAGAGAACUGAUGCUUGAGCAGGCACAGAUUCUGGAAUUUGGGCUGGCCGUGCACGAGAAGUUUGUACCUCAAGAUAUGAGACCCCUUCACAAAAAACUGGUGGACCAGUUCUUUGUGAUGAAAUCGAGCUUUGGGAUACAGGAGUUCCCUGCUUGUAUCCAGGCCAGCCCUGUCCAUUUUCCCAAUGGAAGCCCUCGUGUGUGUAGAAACUCAGCCCCUGCUUCCAUGAGUCCAGAUGGUACCAGGGUAAUCCCUAGACGCAGCCCAUUAAGUUACCCAGCUGUCAACCGGUAUUCCUCGUCCUCGCUGUCCUCACAGGCCUCUGCUGAAGUAAGCAAUAUUACAGGGCAAUCAGAAAGCUCUGAUGAAGUCUUUAACAUGCAGCCCAGUCCGUCUACCUCAAGCCUGAGUUCCACUCACUCUGCUUCACCUAAUGUGACCAGUUCUGCUCCGUCGAGUGCCAGAGCUUCGCCUUUGUUGUCUGACAAACACAAACAUUCCAGAGAAAACUCUUGCCUGUCCCCAAGAGAUAGACCGUGCAGUGCCAUUUACCCAACACCCGUGGAGCCUUCUCAGCUAUUGGGAAGAGCUGCAGCUGACUCCUUUCCCCAAGAAUGUAGGUGCAAUCUGUUUGCCUUUGCCAUUGAUCUUCCAUGGAUUACCAGGAAAGGGGCUGUGUCCUGGAGAUGUCAUACGAGCUAGGGAAUGUGGUUCCGCCGGUCACUCAAACCUCGCUUUCAAAAACCUGAGUGAGCAUGGGCCACAGGCCCAGUCCAGGGGCAACGUAUGUGCAUUGGAGGGUGGGUACGAAGUUGAAGAUUCGUGUUGUAUCCCUGAGUUUUUUUCACAGUUUAUUUGGGACUAAUUUUAAGAGCAGAGAAAACUCCUUGUUUCUGCUCCAGCUAAUUUCUCUGUUUUUCUACACCAUCCUGGCAGAAGUCUGUAGCUGCAUCUGGAAUUGGAUGAGAGCGAGUGGGAUUUGGCUUGAUUGGUUUAUCUUUGCUGAUUGUGUGAUCUUCCCGAAAGGCCCAGGAUACCUCCUCUGCGCAGCACUGAUGUCUUGCAGAAAUGAUUUCUGAGUGCGUUUGCCUGAACCAGCUAACCAAUUUUAUUUCCCGUUGUCACUGGCAUUGCAAGGGGAUUUCAGUUUGUUUCAUCUGCUCUAAGAGAUCAUGUGCCAGCAUGGGAAACUCUGAAAGGCUUCCUUGAUUAGUCCUGAGUUAUCUGUCUUGGGUAAAAUUUGAAUCAGUAUAUAUGUUACCAAAAUUAUAAUAAUGUAUAAUGCUGUAGGUUUCCACUUUUUCUUUUCAUGAGUUAGGUAGAGCUAUGUAAUAUUGGUAAUUUUGUAGGUUAAAAUUAUAGAAUAUUCAUUAGCUCAUUUUUGUCUAUUAUAGUAUUUGAACUAUAAGUUUGUCUAUAUAGUAGGUUUUUAAAUUAAUAUUUCUCCUUUCAUUCUUAUUCAUGUCAUACUGCCAGUCUAGCAGUAUACACUUGUAAAGAACAUCAUACCUAGCGAAUUCUUACUAUUAAUUUUCCCUAUGUUUAUUAUGAGUAAUUAUUUACCAUUUAUAUUUAAUGUAAAACACCAUUUCUUAUUAUGUUUCUUUCAGAAAACCUAAGACUCUGUUUCCCCUUUUCUCCUUAAAUAGAGUUUAAUUAUUUGUUCCUAGGCUCAUUAUACCAUAUAGAAAAUGUUUUGAGCAAAGAGUUUCAUAAGGAGAUAACCAUCUCAUUUUCUAAAAGGCAUCCUACCUCAGCAUAUUAUAUCAUAAAAAUGGACUCUUCUCCCUUUCCAGAGGAUGCUGUUUAAUCAUAUUGGAGAUGGGGCCUUGCCUCGAAGUGACCCCAACCUUUCUGCACCUGAGAAAGCUUCGCCAGCAAGACACACCACAUCAGUGUCCCCCUCGCCUGCUGGACGUUCUCCAUUGAAGGGCUCCGUACAGUCCUUCACCCCAUCUCCAGUGGAGUACAACUCCCCAGGACUGAGUUCAAAUUCCCCAGUCUUGUCCGGCAGCUACAGCAGUGGGAUUUCCUCGCUUAGCCGGUGUAGCACGUCGGAAACCUCGGGCUUUGAAAACCAAGCCAAUGAACAGUCAGUGCCUGUGCCGGUGCCGGUGCCGGUGCCGGUGCCCGUGCCCAGCUUCAGCGGGUCGGAGGAACCUGUACGCAAGGAGAGCAAAACCCCACCCCCCUACAGUGUCUACGAGCGGACUCUGCGGCGCCCUGUCCCGCUACCUCACAGCCUCUCCAUCCCUGUCACCUCUGAGCCACCUGCUCUGCCCCCCAAGCCCUUGGCUGCGCGGUCCAGCCACCUGGAGAAUGGGACCCGUAGGACUGAGCCUGGCCCUAGGCCCAGGCCCCUGCCCCGUAAGGUGUCUCAGCUAUAAGUCACUUUUCUAUGUACCUGCGAUGAAUUCUUUGCCGUUUACAAGAUAAGUCUGAUGAGAAGACAUUUAGUGUAGGCACUUUAAAUCUCUUACUCAGACCUUUCUUUAAAUGAAUGGAGUUAAAUUUGCUUAUUAAUAUAAUGUUGCACAAUAUUAAAAGUUACUGAUCUAAAACGCCAGAUGUUACAUGAAAUAUGGGGCUGAGUCUCAUUAAAACGUUUCUCAUUUGAAAGUGGUAAAUUGUGAAAAAGACUCCUUUUGUACCUUUUUAUGUUCACCUUUUUUAUGUAGUUUAAUCUUAAAACCAAUACGAUAUUGUCAAGCAAUAGAAUGCGUGAUAAUGUUGUAUACCUUUUAUUCUGAAUACUUGAUACUCUGAGAAAGCUGAUCAUGUCUGGGCACAUACUAACACAACGGCCAUUUCUUGAGACUUCAGGAAAGAAGGUGAAGACCUCAGCUCUCCCCUUGAGCAGAAUGUUGAGCUCCUAUCUUCAGAUUUAAAGGCUAAAGCAGGCUGGUUGGUUGGAGUAGAUACUUAAGGGUUUCAAGGAUUGGGAACGGAAGUUGUUUUGUUCUUUAAACAAAAUACUUCUUUGACAUCUGACAGCUGUCUCCAUCCUUAACUCUGCUUUGUGAACGGUUGCUGAAUCUUUAAGCAUCCUGACACCAUGCUAUCUACUGCAUUACUUUUCAAGGUGCAAUUUGCUUUCGGAGUUCCAAUCAGCUAGAUUAAGCAAGAGACCCCAGGAGAAGUGUUUACUUGAAUUUUGUGCUUCCUUACUUGAUAACUUCCUACACAAAACGUGUCACUGAUAAAGAGCAGGUGUUCAAGGUUUAAAUAGGCACAAAUUACUGUGUCCCAUUAACUAGGAUUCGGGAAUCAAUACAGGACAGUAUUAAAUCAAUAGUGUGAAGGAAGACAAAACCUUAGUGAAAAUAUAUUAACAUGAUUGAAUGGUGAAAGGACUUUGAAAAGGUGAGGGCAUUAACUUUGAAUCCUGCAUAAAAUAAAGAAUUCUUCAAACUCUCCCUUCUUCCCAGGAGAGCUGAGUGUCUCUGCUCGCUUGUCCUGUGGUCCUUUUUCUGGGGAAGAGGAUUGUGGACCAUUCUAGCAUGGAUACAGCAGCAUAGCAUUAGGUGGAGGUAGAGUAGACAUGAUGGCACAGUUGUAGGAGGGUGAAAAAGCACCUUGUAUGUAGUAAUGUAUUUUUUUAAUCUUUGUCUUUUCCUUUUACUGACUGUUUAUAACACUCAAUUGACAAUAGAUAUGAACUGUAUUUUAAACCAUGCUGUUAAAUAUUUUCCCUCUUUUGUUGGGAAGCUCAUCUUAGUUUAGUUGUGUUUGUUUUUGUUGCUAGCUUACCUGGAAGGCAGUGACCACUUUUUUAUAUUCUCUUAAUGAAACCAUUCAGCAGGUAUAUGCUGUUGAGGCUGGUUAUAGAGGUUUUCUAUAAUAAAUGUUCAAGUAUUUUUGUACAUAACUGGUUAAUUUUAAUAAGAGAUACCAUUAUGUGUAAAAAAAAAAGUAAAAAGCAAACAGUUGUGGAUGCAGUAUGAUUGUUAUAAUUAUGCCAAAUACUUUAUGUAUGGAAAAUAUUUGUACAUAUGUGCUUUUAACAAUAAUUCUGCCAUAUUGACUUUACAAUUUUGAAUGUCAGAAAAUUAAUAUAUGUAAAAAUAUUUAUGUUUAGUGAAAGUAUUCAUAAUUGAGGAAAGGAACCUAUGAAUUUUAGCUUUGUAUCUUGCAGGUUUUGCAGUUAGAAAUUUCUUGAACUAGCGCUUGCAUUUGAUAAUAACACUUUGUGUUUGUAAUCACACCCUAAAAAAAAAUAUAUAUAUAUAUAUAUAUAUAUACAUACACUUAUACAUGUAUGUAGAAAGCUCCAUGUUUCUUUUGCUUUAAAGAAGUAAAAUCUUUCCCGUAAGUAAGAUGAAAAGCAUAAGAUAACAAAGCCGCUUUGAUUUCCUUUUCCUGUGUAAUUUAGUAGAUUUCUUGACUAGUGCUUGGGCACACAAUAAAUCAGUGUUAUUUGCUCUUGAAGCCUUUUUUUUUUUUCUUUUUUGGCACUGAAUAGUUGACUUUAUCAUAUAAGUGUAUUUCUAAAGCAGCUCCAUAGCAGAACAUUUUAAGAGAUUCUGUUAGCUCAGAUGUUCAUGUUGAUUGCUGCAGAAUGGUAAAUAUUAAAUAAAGUUAUCAGAUUAAUCUUAA